UAAUGUGUGCCCAUGGGUGUGUGCAGGUGCACUCAGGGCACUGUGUUGUGGUCUGCUGCCUGGAGGCAGACCAGGGCUUGUGCGUGGCUUUUGGCUAGAGUUACUCACAGGUGACCCACGGAGUCAGUGCAGGGGCUAUGAGAAUUUGCAUUUGCAUCAAAACCCUGUCAGCCAACAAUGGAUGGGAGCUGAGGAUUGAAAGGAGAUGCAGAAUCAAGACUGAAAGAAGUUAAGUAACUUCACUCUAGAUCAUCUGGUAGAGGGUAUAAAGGAGAUCUAGCCCUGGGAAGUUAGGCUCUAAAACCUGUGCCGUUCCUAUGAAAGCACAUUUCCUUCAUAAAAGGCAGGAGUGCUCCCAGGCAAGGAAUAGACACCUAUUUUUCAGACUUCUGAUCUCUUUGGGGAUUGCCAAAAUGACCUCAAGUAGUGAAGAUAUAGUGGAAUAAUCUGUAUUUCUGCUGACCUUGAUGACAUUUGGAUCUCAUUUGAGGUACUAAGAAGAAUAAGCAAUUGGUUUGAAAAAAGCCCUUUUAAGAGCAAAAUGAAUUCUGCUAAAGUUGAAGCAGGAACAAAUAUCAAAUUUAUGGUGAAGCUCAGGUGGAAGAAUGAUGAA
rnacentral:lncRNA from 1 species